rnacentral:rRNA from 1 species
GACGAACGCUGGCGGCGUGCUUAACACAUGCAAGUCGAACGGAAAGGCCCUGCUUUUGUGGGGUGCUCGAGUGGCGAACGGGUGAGUAACACGUGAGUAACCUGCCCUUGACUUUGGGAUAACUUCAGGAAACUGGGGCUAAUACCGGAUAGGAGCUCCUGCUGCAUGGUGGGGGUUGGAAAGUUUCGGCGGUUGGGGAUGGACUCGCGGCUUAUCAGCUUGUUGGUGGGGUAGUGGCUUACCAAGGCUUUGACGGGUAGCCGGCCUGAGAGGGUGACCGGCCACAUUGGGACUCAGAUACGGCCCAGACUCCUACGGGAGGCAGCAGUGGGGAAUAUUGCACAAUGGGCGGAAGCCUGAUGCAGCAACGCCGCGUGCGGGAUGACGGCCUUCGGGUUGUAAACCGCUUUCGCCUGUGACGAAGCGUGAGUGACGGUAAUGGGUAAAGAAGCACCGGCUAACUACGUG